rnacentral:sRNA from 1 species
UAAAAAUCUCCGCCGCGACAUCCGAAGGACAUCUGCACCCAAUGUUUGUGGAUAUACCUGAGCUAUCCUCAACCUUAACUUCACGUUGUCUCCGCUACAUCCACCAUAGAAGUUCUUGAUGUUGAUGCGACAUCUCCGUUCUCAAUCUCUCCAUAUCCAGAUGACAGUCGAGACCUUCUUAUCAAGACACCGCUGCCACGUCCUCGUAUACAUCACACGAUGUCCAAAUGGCCAGAUCAACACAGCGGAUGCAUUUUCACAUCACAUCUCUAUAUACAAUAUUUACAACAGACAUCACCUCCUAAGCCUCGUCGAAGCCCGAACAGACGACCGCUCAUCUUCCCUUUCCGUCUCGCCACCAGCAGAUGUCUCGGCCAACAUCUCACUGGCAUUUCUUCGCCUAGACGGGCGGGUGGAAGGGGUCCUACCAGCGCCGCCCCUGCGUCCACCUCGACUAUUACGCCUACCCCUUCACGAACCACCUCUACUGGAAUAACUUCCCUGGGUUUGCAAAGAGGAGGGACCGGUAGGGGUUGCUGCCAUACAAUCAGCAUGGCCACUAGAAUCACCGUGUGCAGACUCACAGGGCGUGGCGUCCCGGAAUGGUGCCGUAUCCGAAGGAGGCGCUGAGAACAUAUAUUAGUACGAUACACAAAAUAAGCACAACAAGCAGCAUCUUCUGCGCAGUUAGAUUGAUCGACUAUGCAGGCGGCGUCAGCUUUAAGGCUCAUCCUAAGACUAAAGACACGUACAUGUAC